GGUUGGAGUGCUGUGAUGUGAUUCUGGCUAACUGGCUCUUGGGUUCAGGCAGUUCUUUUGCCUCACAGUCACCCACCACCAUUCAAGACUAAUUUUUGCAUUAUUAGUAGAGAAGGGAUUUUUCUAUGUUGGCCAGGAUAUUGCAAAACAAAGCUUAAUCUUUGAAGAUCGUUUUUAAGACCAAAAAUUUGAAGGACAUGUGAAUGAUCUGUGUGUGGAAGAACUACUGGAAAACAUUUCCUUUCAGAAGUCCCUCAUGAUAGGGAAUCCCAAGGCUGGGAAACAUCAUUCAAGUGGGCAAUGAAAUUAAAUUUUUUAUUAAAAGCCACCCUGAGUGAAUCCCAGCAAGCCCUGCAUAAAAUAUAUCGUUAAUUAUAUUUCCUAUUUGAUGUUUGACUCCCCCUCCUCCUUCACUAAAAGAUGGAAAUGUGUCAUGUAUCAGCUAUUCAUCCAAUGACUGCUCCUCAGUUCCAAAUUCAGCCUUCACUGCCUGCUCUGCAAACAUAGAGAUGGGACCAUGUAGUUGCAGGAAAACAAACAAGCUCAGGACUCACACUGAUUGUACAUUAUGGGUUAUUAUUGAAAAUCAAACACAAACUUAAAGGUGUGAAUUGCUGAAUUACAAUGACAGUUGAAUUCACUGCAUCUCCAAGGUUCUCAUGAGAACAUUGGGGCACUAAUAGGUGAAGAAUGGGAUUUUCUUUUUGAGACCGUCUCCCUCUGUUGCCCAGGCUGGAGCACAGCGAUGUGAUCUUGGCUCACUGCAGUCUCAACCUCCCGGGCUUAAGCUAUCCUCCUGCGUCAGCCUCUGGGAUAGCUGAGGUAUGACCACAGCCUCAGCCGAGGUGUCUCACCCCAUUCUCUAUGAUGCGACAAGAAGCCCCUUGGGAGCAUUUCAGUCUCACUCUGUACUUCUGUCAUUGUGCUCCUCACAGUCUGAAGCACCUAAGCUGAAGAGUCCCUUGAGAACAAGUACUAUCCUGUGGUUUCAUAACCUUUCUUCCAUCUGUGGUUCUUGCCGAGUUAAAUUUAAAGUGCAUCUUAUCAAGAUGAUAAACCCAACUUUUCCAGAGCUGGAAUAUAGAAAAUGGAUGGACAUAUAAGUCCCACUCACCAAUAGCCAAGGCAUGGAGACCUGAACACACCUGAGCCCUAGACAUCACAUUUCAUUAUGAAGUUUCACUCUUGUUGCCUAGGCUGGAGUUCAACGGCACAAUCUCUGCUGACUGCAACCUCCUUCUCUUGGAUUCAAGCCAUUUUCUUGCCUCAGUCUGCAGAAUAGCUGGAAUUACAGGCAUG